rnacentral:rRNA from 1 species
AUUGAACGCUGGCGGAAUGCUUUACACAUGCAAGUCGAACGGUAGAGGGGGCAACCCCUCGAGAGUGGCGAACGGGUGAGUAAUAUAUCGGAACGUGCCCAGUCGUGGGGGAUAACGUAGCGAAAGUUACGCUAAUACCGCAUACGAUCUACGGAUGAAAGCGGGGGAUCGCAAGACCUCGCGCGAUUGGAGCGGCCGAUAUCAGAUUAGGUAGUUGGUGGGGUAAAGGCUCACCAAGCCAACGAUCUGUAGCUGGUCUGAGAGGACGACCAGCCACACUGGAAAUGAGACACGGGCCAGACUCCUACGGAAGGCAGCAGUGGGAAAUUUUGGAAAAUAGACGCAAGCCUGACCCAGCCAUUCCGCGUGAAGGAUGAAGGCCCUCGGGUUGUAAACUGCUUUUGUACGGAACGAAAAGGUUUCCAUUAAUACUGGGAGCUCAUGACGGUACCGUAAGAAUAAGCACCGGCUAACUACGUGCCAGCCGCCGCCGUAA